rnacentral:rRNA from 1 species
AGGGGUAACAGGUCACUUCGGUGAUGCUGACGACCGGCGCACGGGUGAGUAACGCGUAUGGAACCUACCUGAAACAGGUGGAUAGCUUCCGGAAACGGGGAUUAAUACCCCAUACGAUUCAUUUGUGGCCUCACAAAUGGAUAAAAGCUACGGCGGUUUCAGAUGGUCAUGCGUACCAUUAGUUAGUUGGUGAGGUAAAGGCUCACCAAGGCGAUGAUGGUUAGGGGUCCUGAGAGGGUAGUCCCCCACACUGGUACUGAGACACGGACCAGACUCCUACGGGAGGCAGCAGUGAGGAAUAUUGGUCAAUGGGCGCUAGCCUGAACCAGCCAUGCCGCGUGCAGGAAGACGGCCCUACGGGUUGUAAACUGCUUUUCUGCAGGAAGAAUAUAUAGUCUUAGGGCUAUAUUGACGGUACUGCAGGAAUAAGCAUCGGCUAACUCCGUGCCAGCAGCCGCGGUAAUACGGAGGAUGCAAGCGUUAUCCGGAUUCAUUGGGUUUAAAGGGUGCGCAGGCUGUAAAGCAAGUCAGUGGUGAAAGCCCUGGGCUUAACUCAGGGAUUGCCAUUGAAACUGUUUUACUAGAGUGUAGUAGAGGACGGCGGAAUGAGUUGUGUAAGCGGUGAAAUGCAUAGAUCUAACUCAGAACACCUAUUGCGUAGGCAGCUGUCUAUACUACAACUGACGCUGAGGCACGAAAGCGUGGGGAGCGAACAGGAUUAGAUACCCUGGUAGUCCACGCCUGUAAACGAUGAUCACUCG